rnacentral:rRNA from 1 species
AUUGAACGCUGGCGGCAGGCCUAACACAUGCAAGUCGAGCGGAUGAAGGGAGCUUGCUCCUGUAUUCAGCUGCGGACGGGUGAGUAAUGCCUAGGAAUCUGCCUGGUAUUGGGGGAUAACGUCCGGAAACGGGCGCUAAUACCGCAUACGUCCUGAUGGAGAAAGUGGGGGAUCUUCGGACCUCACGCUAUCAGAUGAGCCUAGGUCGGAUUAGCUAGUUGGUGGGGUAAAGGCCUACCAAGGCGACGAUCCGUAACUGGUCUGAGAGGAUGAUCAGUCACACUGGAACUGAGACACGGUCCAGACUCCUACGGGAGGCAGCAGUGGGGAAUCUUGGACAAUGGGCGAAAGCCUGAUCCAGCCAUGCCGCGUGUGUGAAGAAGGUCUUCGGAUUGUAAAGCACUUUUAGUUGGGAGGAAGGGAAGUAAGUUAAUACCUUGCUGUUUUGACGUUACCAACAGAAUAAGCACCGGCUAACUUCGUG